CUGACAGCAUUGGAAACUGAAGUCCUUUUUUUGUCCACUAAACAGGUACAGCGUGAGCAGCAGCAGCAGUGCGAGUUUCACCCCAUUGCCCCACCGCAGUGCGGCAAACCCUGACCUAGAGAGAGACCUCUAGCAAGGGUUAAGAGGCUUGUUCAGUCUCCAUGCUCACUCAGUCGUUACU
rnacentral:sRNA from 1 species